rnacentral:rRNA from 1 species
GAUGAACGCUGUCUACAGGCUUAACACAUGCAAGUCGAGGGGAAACGACGGGGAAGCUUGCUUCCCCGGGCGUCGACCGGCGCACGGGUGAGUAACGCGUAUCCAACCUGCCUCUGACUGAGGGAUAACCCGUCGAAAGUCGGCCUAAUACCUCAUGGCAUCGUCUGCGGGCAUCCAACGACGAUUAAAGAUUUCAUCGGUCAGGGAUGGGGAUGCGUCUGAUUAGCUUGUUGGUGGGGUAACGGCCCACCAAGGCUACGAUCAGUAGGGGUUCUGAGAGGAAGGUCCCCCACAUUGGAACUGAGACACGGUCCAAACUCCUACGGGAGGCAGCAGUGAGGAAUAUUGGUCAAUGGGCGGGAGCCUGAACCAGCCAAGUAGCGUGCAGGAUGACGGCCCUAUGGGUUGUAAACUGCUUUUAUGCGGGGAUAAAGUGAGGGACGUGUCCUUCAUUGCAGGUACCGCAUGAAUAAGGACCGGCUAAUUCCGUG